rnacentral:misc_RNA from 1 species
UGUAGGAGUGAGCCUGCUCGCGAUGGCGGUGGCACAUUCAGUAUUGAUGUGACUGACAGAGAGCUAUCGCGAGCAGGCUCGCUCCUACA